CAGAGGGCGCUUUGGCUUUGGCAGCGCUCCAAGUUCCUUGGAACAGGACGUCACAGAGGGUGAGAAUCCCGUACGUGGUCGCUAGCUAUUGCCGUGUAAAGCCCCUUCGACGAGUCGAGUUGUUUGGGAAUGCAGCUCUAAAUGGGAGGUAAAUUUCUUCUAAAGCUAAAUAUUGGCCAGAGACCGAUAGCGCACAAGUAGAGUGAUCGAAAGAUGAAAAGCACUUUGGAAAGAGAGUCAAACAGCACGUGAAAUUGUUGAAAGGGAAGCGCUUGCAGCCAGACUUGCUUGCAGUUGCUCAUCCGGGCUUUUGCCCGGUGCACUCUUCUGCAGGCAGGCCAGCAUCAGUUUGGGCGGUGGGAUAAAGGUCUCUGACACGUUCCUUCCUUCGGGUUGGCCAUAUAGGGGAGACGUCAUACCACCAGCCUGGACUGAGGUCCGCGCAUCUGCUAGGAUGCUGGCGUAAUGGCUGUAAGCGGCCCGUCUUGAAACACGGACCAAGGAGUCUAACAUCUAUGCGAGUGUUUGGGUGUCAAGCCCGAGCGCGUAAUGAAAGUGAACGGAGGUGGGAACCCGCAAGGGCGCACCAUCGACCGAUCCUGAAGUUUACGGAAGGAUUUGAGUAAGAGCAUGGCUGUUGGGACCCGAAAGAUGGUGAACUAUGCUUGAAUAGGGUGAAGCCAGAGGAAACUCUGGUGGAGGGCAGCGGUUCUGACGUGCAAAUCGAUCGUCAAAUUUGGGCAUAGGGGCGAAAGACU
rnacentral:rRNA from 1 species